UACGUAGGUGACAAGCGUUGUCCGGAUUUACUGGGCGUAAAGAGCGCGCAGGCGGUCGUUCAAGUCGAGUGUGAAAGCCCCCGGCUCAACUGGGGAGGGUCACUCGAUACUGAUCGACUUGAAGGCAGGAGAGGGAAGCGGAAUUCCCGGUGUAGUGGUGAAAUGCGUAGAUAUCUGGAGGAACACCGGUGGCGAAGGCGGCAUCCUGGACCAACACUGACGCUGAGGAGCGAAAGCCAGGGGAGCAAACGGG
rnacentral:rRNA from 1 species